UGUCUUUGACGUGGUGAUUUGUCCGACCGGAUUGCGGCCACGUAAAACAUUCCGCUAAAGAGGUCCGAGUGCUCCGAAU
rfam:Magnetospirillum sp. XM-1 isolate XM1 genome assembly, chromosome: I